CCUACGGGAGGCAGCAGUGAGGAAUAUUGGUCAAUGGACGAGAGUCUGAACCAGCCAAGUAGCGUGAAGGAUGACUGCCCUAUGGGUUGUAAACUUCUUUUAUAUGGGAAUAAAAUGUUCCACGUGUGGGAUUUUGUAUGUACCAUAUGAAUAAGGAUCGGCUAACUCCGUGCCAGCAGCCGCGGUAAUACGGAGGAUCCGAGCGUUAUCCGGAUUUAUUGGGUUUAAAAGGAGCGUAGGUGGAUUGUUAAGUCAGUUGUGAAAGUUUGCGGCUCAACCGUAAAAUUGCAGUUGAAACUGGCAGUCUUGAGUACAGUAGAGGUGGGCGGAAUUCGUGGUGUAGCGGUGAAAUGCUUAGAUAUCACGAAGAACUCCGAUUGCGAAGGCAGUUCACUGGACUGCAACUGACACUGAGGCUCGAAAGUGUGGGUAUCAAACAGGAUUAGAUACCCGUGUAGUC
rnacentral:rRNA from 1 species